GGUUCAUUCAAAUUUCUGCCCUAUCAACUUUCGAUGGUCGGGUCUUGGCCCACCAUGGUGACAACGGGUAACGGAGGGUUAGGGCUCGACCCCGGAGAAGGAGCCUGAGAAACGGCUACUACAUCCAAGGAAGGCAGCAGGCGCGCAAAUUACCCAAUCCCGACCGGGGAGGUAGUGACGAGAAAUACUGAUACAGGGUUCUUUUGGAUCUUGUAAUUGGAAUGAGUACAAUUUAAAUCCCUUAACGAGGAACAAUUGGAGGGCAAGUCUGGUGCCAGCAGCCGCGGUAAUUCCAGCUCCAAUAGCGUAUAUUAAAGUUGUUGAGGUUAAAAAGCUCGUAGUUG
rnacentral:rRNA from 1 species